rnacentral:rRNA from 1 species
AGUGAACGCUGGCGGUAGGCCUAACACAUGCAAGUCGAACGGCAGCACAGUAAGAGCUUGCUCUUACGGGUGGCGAGUGGCGGACGGGUGAGGAAUACAUCGGAAUCUACUUUUUCGUGGGGGAUAACGUAGGGAAACUUACGCUAAUACCGCAUACGACCUACGGGUGAAAGCAGGGGAUCUUCGGACCUUGCGCGAUUGAAUGAGCCGAUGUCGGAUUAGCUAGUUGGCGGGGUAAAGGCCCACCAAGGCGACGAUCCGUAGCUGGUCUGAGAGGAUGAUCAGCCACACUGGAACUGAGACACGGUCCAGACUCCUACGGGAGGCAGCAGUGGGGAAUAUUGGACAAUGGGCGCAAGCCUGAUCCAGCCAUACCGCGUGGGUUAAGAAGGCCUUCGGGUUGUAAAGCCCUUUUGUUGGGAAAGAAAAGCAGCAGGUUAAUACCCCGCUGUUCCGACGGUACCCAAAGAAUAAGCACCGGCUAACUUCGUG